rnacentral:rRNA from 1 species
CAAUAGCGUAUAUUAAAGUUGUUGCGGUUAAAAAGCUCGUAGUUGGAUUUCUGCCGAGGACAAUCGGUCCGCCCUCUGGGUGAGUAUCUGGCUUGGCCUGGGCAUCUUCUUGGAGAACGUUGCUGCACUUGACUGUGUGGUGCGGUAUCCAGGACUUUUACUUUGAGGAAAUUAGAGUGUUUCAAGCAGGCAUACGCCUUGAAUACAUUAGCAUGGAAUAAUAAUAUAGGACCUCGGUUCUAUUUUGUUGGUUUCUAGAGCUGAGGUAAUGAUUAAUAGGGAUAGUUGGGGGUAGUUCAUAUUUAAUUGUCAGAGGUGAAAUUCUUGGAUUUAUGAAAGAUGAACUUAGGCGAAAGCAUUUACCAAGGAUGUUUUCAUUAAUUCAAGAACGAAAGUUAGGGAGUCGAAGACGAUCAGAUACCAU